GCCUAGCCCUAAACAUAGACAGCACAAAUACAAUACUGUCCGCCAGAGAACUACAAGUGAAAAACUAGAAACUCAAAGGACUUGGCGGUGCCCCACAUCAACCUAGAGGAGCCUGUCCUAUAAUCGAUAAUCCACGCUGCACCUUACCAUUUCUUGAAACUCAGCCUAUAUACCGCCGUCGAAAGCCUACCUUAUGAAAGAAACAAAGUAGGCAAAAUAGUCAACAACUAAAACGUCAGGUCAAGGUGUAGCACAUGAAAUGGCAGAGAUGGGCUACAUUUUCUAUCCCAGAAAACACGAACAGCACAAUGAAAUCUGUACUCAAAGGUGGAUUUAGCAGUAAGGUAAAAAAGAAACUCUACCUUAAAUCCGCU
rnacentral:rRNA from 1 species